ACUAAGCGUACACGGUGGAUGCCCUGGCAGUCAGAGGCGAUGAAGGACGUGCUAAUCUGCGAUAAGCGUCGGUAAGGUGAUAUGAACCGUUAUAACCGGCGAUUUCCGAAUGGGGAAACCCAGUGUGUUUCGACACACUAUCAUUAACUGAAUCCAUAGGUUAAUGAGGCGAACCGGGGGAACUGAAACAUCUAAGUACCCCGAGGAAAAGAAAUCAACCGAGAUUCCCCCAGUAGCGGCGAGCGAACGGGGAGGAGCCCAGAGCCUGAAUCAGUGUGUGUGUUAGUGGAAGCGUCUGGAAAGGCGCGCGAUACAGGGUGACAGCCCCGUACACAAAAAUGCACAUGCUGUGAGCUCGAUGAGUAGGGCGGGACACGUGGUAUCCUGUCUGAAUAUGGGGGACCAUCCUCCAAGGCUAAAUACUCCUGACUGACCGAUAGUGAACCAGUACCGUGAGGGAAAGGCGAAAAGAACCCCGGCGAGGGGAGUGAAAAAGAACCUGAAACCGUGUACGUACAAGCAGUGGGAGCACAGAGCAAUCUGUGUGACUGCGUACCUUUUGUAUAAUGGGUCAGCGACUUAUAUUCUGUAGCAAGGUUAACCGAAUAGGGGAGCCGAAGGGAAACCGAGUCUUAACUGGGCGUUAAGUUGCAGGGUAUAGACCCGAAACCCGGUGAUCUAGCCAUGGGCAGGUUGAAGGUUGGGUAACACUAACUGGAGGACCGAACCGACUAAUGUUGAAAAAUUAGCGGAUGACUUGUGGCUGGGGGUGAAAGGCCAAUCAAACCGGGAGAUAGCUGGUUCUCCCCGAAAGCUAUUUAGGUAGCGCCUCGUGAAUUCAUCUCCGGGGGUAGAGCACUGUUUCGGCAAGGGGGUCAUCCCGACUUACCAACCCGAUGCAAACUGCGAAUACCGGAGAAUGUUAUCACGGGAGACACACGGCGGGUGCUAACGUCCGUCGUGAAGAGGGAAACAACCCAGACCGCCAGCUAAGGUCCCAAAGUCAUGGUUAAGUGGGAAACGAUGUGGGAAGGCCCAGACAGCCAGGAUGUUGGCUUAGAAGCAGCCAUCAUUUAAAGAAAGCGUAAUAGCUCACUGGUCGAGUCGGCCUGCGCGGAAGAUGUAACGGGGCUAAACCAUGCACCGAAGCUGCGGCAGCGACGCUGAUGCGUUGUUGGGUAGGGGAGCGUUCUGUAAGCCUGUGAAGGUGUGCUGUGAGGCAUGCUGGAGGUAUCAGAAGUGCGAAUGCUGACAUAAGUAACGAUAAAGCGGGUGAAAAGCCCGCUCGCCGGAAGACCAAGGGUUCCUGUCCAACGUUAAUCGGGGCAGGGUGAGUCGACCCCUAAGGCGAGGCCGAAAGGCGUAGUCGAUGGGAAACAGGUUAAUAUUCCUGUACUUGGUGUUACUGCGAAGGGGGGACGGAGAAGGCUAUGUUGGCCGGGCGACGGUUGUCCCGGUUUAAGCGUGUAGGCUGGUUUUCCAGGCAAAUCCGGAAAACUAAGGCUGAGGCGUGAUGACGAGGCACUACGGUGCUGAAGCAACAAAUGCCCUGCUUCCAGGAAAAGCCUCUAAGCAUCAGGUAACAUCAAAUCGUACCCCAAACCGACACAGGUGGUCAGGUAGAGAAUACCAAGGCGCUUGAGAGAACUCGGGUGAAGGAACUAGGCAAAAUGGUGCCGUAACUUCGGGAGAAGGCACGCUGAUAUGUAGGUGAAGUCCCUCGCGGAUGGAGCUGAAAUCAGUCGAAGAUACCAGCUGGCUGCAACUGUUUAUUAAAAACACAGCACUGUGCAAACACGAAAGUGGACGUAUACGGUGUGACGCCUGCCCGGUGCCGGAAGGUUAAUUGAUGGGGUCAGCGCAAGCGAAGCUCUUGAUCGAAGCCCCGGUAAACGGCGGCCGUAACUAUAACGGUCCUAAGGUAGCGAAAUUCCUUGUCGGGUAAGUUCCGACCUGCACGAAUGGCGUAAUGAUGGCCAGGCUGUCUCCACCCGAGACUCAGUGAAAUUGAACUCGCUGUGAAGAUGCAGUGUACCCGCGGCAAGACGGAAAGACCCCGUGAACCUUUACUAUAGCUUGACACUGAACAUUGAGCCUUGAUGUGUAGGAUAGGUGGGAGGCUUUGAAGUGUGGACGCCAGUCUGCAUGGAGCCGACCUUGAAAUACCACCCUUUAAUGUUUGAUGUUCUAACGUUGACCCGUAAUCCGGGUUGCGGACAGUGUCUGGUGGGUAGUUUGACUGGGGCGGUCUCCUCCUAAAGAGUAACGGAGGAGCACGAAGGUUGGCUAAUCCUGGUCGGACAUCAGGAGGUUAGUGCAAUGGCAUAAGCCAGCUUGACUGCGAGCGUGACGGCGCGAGCAGGUGCGAAAGCAGGUCAUAGUGAUCCGGUGGUUCUGAAUGGAAGGGCCAUCGCUCAACGGAUAAAAGGUACUCCGGGGAUAACAGGCUGAUACCGCCCAAGAGUUCAUAUCGACGGCGGUGUUUGGCACCUCGAUGUCGGCUCAUCACAUCCUGGGGCUGAAGUAGGUCCCAAGGGUAUGGCUGUUCGCCAUUUAAAGUGGUACGCGAGCUGGGUUUAGAACGUCGUGAGACAGUUCGGUCCCUAUCUGCCGUGGGCGCUGGAGAACUGAGGGGGGCUGCUCCUAGUACGAGAGGACCGGAGUGGACGCAUCACUGGUGUUCGGGUUGUCAUGCCAAUGGCACUGCCCGGUAGCUAAAUGCGGAAGAGAUAAGUGCUGAAAGCAUCUAAGCACGAAACUUGCCCCGAGAUGAGUUCUCCCUGACUCCUUGAGAGUCCUGAAGGAACGUUGAAGACGACGACGUUGAUAGGCCGGAUGUGUAAGCGCAGCGAUGCGUUGAGCUAACCGGUACUAAUGAACCGUGAGGCUUAACC
rnacentral:rRNA from 1 species